UGCCAGGGCUUCAGAGCACCUUCCUAGCCAUGGACACGGAGGAGGGGGUAGAGGUGGUGUGGAACGAGCUCCACUUCGGAGACAGGAAGGCCUUUGCCGCGCACGAGGUGAGACAGCUGCCCCCUCCUCAUCCUGCCUGGGUGACCACCUGCUGACCACCCAGCGACCACCCUCCCUCCCCAGGAGAAGAUCCAGACCGUGUUCGAGCAGCUGGUGCUGGUGGACCACCCCAACAUCGUGAAGUUGCACAAGUACUGGCUGGAUACUUCUGAGGCCUGCGCGAGGGUCAUCUUCAUCACAGAGUACGUGUCAUCAGGCAGCCUCAAGCAAUUCCUCAAAAAGACCAAGAAGAACCACAAGGCCAUGAACGCCCGGGUAUGGGGAGCCGGCUGGGGCAGCCACGGGGACAGGACGGGGUUGGGGCAGCCUCGGGGACUGGGAUGGUGAGGGGGUGCCCGGCGGCCUCGGACAGGGGCUGGGCGAGGAUGCGGGGCGGGCUCCGCAGGCCCAGCCGCCUCUCCUGCGCCCACCCGACGGAGUCGUGCGUCCGCCGCCAGGCCUGGAAGCGCUGGUGCACGCAGAUCCUGUCUGCGCUCAGCUUCCUGCACGCCUGCAGCCCCCCGAUCAUCCACGGGAACCUGACCAGCGACACCAUCUUCAUUCAGCACAACGGCCUCAUCAAGAUCGGCUCCGUGUGGCAUCGAAUCUUCUCCAAUGGUAGGUGCGGACUCUGGGGGGAUGGGGUCCUGGAGAAGUCCCCACCGGCUGAGCCUCUGCGCCCUUCCACAGCGCUUCCAGAUAAUCUCCGAAGCCCCAUCCGCGCUGAGCGAGAGGAACUUCGGAACCUGCACUUCUUCCCCCCAGAGUACGGGGGUGAGUGGCACUGGGUCCGGGUGCCCCGUGCCUGCCCUGCGCUUCUCUCCUACCUGUCCUGUUCUCUCUCCUGUUCAGAGGUGGCCGAUGGGACCGCUGUGGACAUCUUCUCCUUUGGGAUGUGUGCGCUGGAGAUGGCUGUACUGGAAAUCCAGACCAACGGGGACACCCGGGUCACAGAGGAGGCCAUUGCUCGCGCCAGGCACUCGCUGAGUGACCCCAACAUGCGGGAGUUCAUCCUUUGCUGCCUGGCCCGGGACCCUGCCCACCGGCCUUCUGCCCACAGCCUCCUCUUCCACCGCGUGCUCUUCGAGGUGCACUCGCUGAAGCUCCUGGCAGCCCACUGCUUUAUCCAGCACCAGUACCUCAUGCCUGAGAAUGUGGUGGAGGAGAAGACCAAGGCCAUGGACCUGCACGCGGUCUUGGCGGAGCUUCCCCGGCCCCGCAGGCCCCCGCUGCAGUGGCGGUACUCGGAAGUCUCCUUCAUGGAACUGGACAAAUUCCUGGAGGAUGUCAGGUGAGAACUGAUGUAAGGUUGGGGGCCAGGCAGCUGUCAGGCCUGAACCCCCAGCCACCCUGGUGUGUCCCCAGGAAUGGGAUCUACCCACUGAUGAACUUUGCAGUUACUCGGCCCCUGGGGCUGCCCCGUGUGCUGGCCCCACCCCCAGAGGAGGUCCAAAAGGCCAAGACCCCGACGCCAGAGCCCUUUGACUCUGAGACCAGAAAGGUCAUCCAGAUGCAGUGCAACCUGGAGAGAAGCGAGGACAAGGCGCGCUGGCAUCUUACUCUGCUUCUGGUGCUGGAGGACCGGCUGCACCGGCAGCUGACCUACGACCUGCUCCCAAGACGACCGGAUGAAGCUGGCCGCCUUCCUGGAGAGCACCUUCCUCAAGUACCGUGGGACCCAGGCCUGACCCGGAGCCCCAGCCCCAGGGGACCAUGCCGGGGUGCUGCCUGGGCAGGCCAUGUUAGGGAGACCCCAGCACCGCGGGGCUGCCCUCCUUCAUGUGCCUGGGAGCACAAAGGCCCCGGUAGUGAAGGAACC
rnacentral:sRNA from 1 species